UACGAAGGGGGCUAGCGUUGCUCGGAAUUACUGGGCGUAAAGGGCGCGUAGGCGGACAGUUUAGUCAGAGGUGAAAGCCCAGGGCUCAACCCUGGAAUUGCCUUUGAUACUGACUGUCUUGAGUGUGGGAGAGGUGUGUGGAACUCCGAGUGUAGAGGUGAAAUUCGUAGAUAUUCGGAAGAACACCAGUGGCGAAGGCGGCACACUGGCCCAUUACUGACGCUGAGGCUCGAAAGCGUGGGGAGCAAACAGG
rnacentral:rRNA from 1 species